rnacentral:tRNA from 2 species
CCGGUAUGGUGUAGUGGCUAACAUUUCGCGCUCUCAUAACCUGAGGGAUCAAUUCCGCGGAGCCCAGGGUUCGAUUCCCUGUACCGGAGA